rnacentral:siRNA from 1 species
GCAAGUCGGUUCCUGAAUGGCUCU